CCUUCGGGGUGGUGAAAGUGGCGCACGGGUGAGUAACGCGUGGAUAAUCUGCCCGAGGAUUUGGGAUAACAUCUCGAAAGGGGUGCUAAUACCGAAUAAGCCCACGGGGUCUACGGAUCUUGCGGGAAAAGGGGGGGACCUUCGGGCCUCCUGUCCUUGGAUGAGUCUGCGUACCAUUAGCUAGUUGGUGGGGUAAUGGCCUACCAAGGCGACGAUGGUUAGCUGGUCUGAGAGGAUGAUCAGCCACACUGGAACUGAGACACGGUCCAGACUCCUACGGGAGGCAGCAGUGGGGAAUUUUGCGCAAUGGGGGAAACCCUGACGCAGCAACGCCGCGUGGGUGAUGAAGGCCUUCGGGUCGUAAAGCUCUGUCUGGAGGGAAGAAAUGAUUGGGAGCUAAUACCUCUUGAUCUUGACGGUACCUCUGAAGGAAGCACCGGCUAACUCCGUGCCAGCAGCCGCGGUAAUACGGAGGGUGCAAGCGUUGUUCGGAAUUAUUGGGCGUAAAGCGCGUGUAGGCGGUCUUUUAAGUCUGAUGUGAAAGCCCCGG
rnacentral:rRNA from 1 species